UUUACAGCACCAGAAGCUGGGAAGUCCAAUAUCAAGUUGUCAGCAUUUGGCAAGAAUCCUCUUGCAGCGUUAUCCCACAGCAGAAGGCAAGAAGGUGAGAAGCAAGAAGUUUCUCAAAAAGGCUUUCUAGAUGCCAUUCCUUUUGGCUUGACCAACCCUAGGAUCUUCUCUUACAGCACAGUUGAUGCCUCCCUCAAAAACAAGCUUCACUCAUGGACAGUAGAUGAAAGGUUGAAGAAUCUAGUUUCAAGAUCAAGCACAAGAAUCGCAUUAGCAAUGAGAAGCUAAAAACUUACAACAUGGAAAGUGAACAUUACAACAAAAAUUUUGACAAAGUGAAACCUGAAGAAUAAAAUGCUCCAGUUAUAUUCCUAAGACCAUAGCUUUGGAAGGAAGUGAAAGUCAGGAAGAAAAUCAUGACCACUUAUGGGGCUGGAAUUGUGGCUCAGUGGUAGAGCCUCCUCUAACACAUGCGAGGCCCUGGGUUCCAUCCUCAGUACCACAUAAAAAUAAAUUAAUAAAAUAAAGGUGUUGGUUAAAAAAAAGAAAAGAAAAUGAUGACCACUUAGACCUUCAAAUGAGUAAGAUCUGCAACUAACCACUGAGUAUUAUCAAGGCCAAAUUUUCUUCAUAGUCUUUAAAUAGAGGUACUAUGUAGAAGGUUAUGCAUUUAAAUGUACAUAAAUAAAAUAAUAUGACUAAAAGGGGGAGAAGGAGAAAAGAUAAAGCUGGUACAGAUUCACUUCAUAUAAAUCUUUUUACAAAACUUCAUCUAGGUUGGAAAAGAAAAGAUGUGGUUUUCUAUAAAGUUAACAAAAUGUAAUGGGAAAAUGUUUUCCAACUGUCCAGCUCUUUUUGAGGGGCCAAAACUGAGAGCAACAGCUCCACACUCUAUAAACAAACAAACAAGCAAGCAUAAAAAGAAUUUGCUAAGAGGUGGGUCCCCAAAUAUCACCUGAAAUCUCUAAAGCAUCCUCUAUCUACAGAGAUUAAGGCUUGGGAUGGGGGAAUUUAUGGGCUUUUCUUAGUAUUGUCAAGGUCUUGUGCAUUUUCCUUCUGUCCUCAAAAGAAUCCCCACUUUCCACCCUCAGCAGAGACAGGUGACAAAAGGGAACUAAAUAAAUUGAAGAACUUUUGCUACUUUGGAGUUCUCCAGGGGAUUCCUGGGGAGUUCGCAUUGGUUGGGGAAGUGCUGGAGGAGGGAUUUCUGGUUGGUGUGUGGUGUGUCCAGGGAGAAGGCCUUGUGCAUGGCAUUCGCGGGAGUUGGGAAAUAAAGUUUGUUCCUGUUUGA